rnacentral:tRNA from 1 species
GCUGGGAUGGCGGAGCGGUCCAACGCGUCAGACUUGAGAUCUGAUCCCCUCACGGGGGCACAGGUUCAAAUCCUGUUCCCAGCGC